GACGAACGCUGGCGGCGUGCUUAACACAUGCAAGUCGAACGGAAAGGCCCUGCUUUUGUGGGGUGCUCGAGUGGCGAACGGGUGAGUAACACGUGAGUAACCUGCCCUUGACUUUGGGAUAACUUCAGGAAACUGGGGCUAAUACCGGAUAGGAGCUCCUGCUGCAUGGUGGGGGUUGGAAAGUUUCGGCGGUUGGGGAUGGACUCGCGGCUUAUCAGCUUGUUGGUGGGGUAGUGGCUUACCAAGGCUUUGACGGGUAGCCGGCCUGAGAGGGUGACCGGCCACAUUGGGACUGAGAUACGGCCCAGACUCCUACGGGAGGCAGCAGUGGGGAAUAUUGCACAAUGGGCGGAAGCCUGAUGCUGCAACGCCGCGUGCGGGAUGACGGCCUUCGGGUUGUAAACCGCUUUCGCCUGUGACGAAGCGUGAGUGACGGUAAUGGGUAAAGAAGCACCGGCUAACUACGUGCCAGCAGCCGCGGUGAUACGUAGGGUGCGAGCGUUGUCCGGAUUUAUUGGGCGUAAAGGGCUCGUAGGUGGUUGAUCGCGUCGGAAGUGUAAUCUUGGGGCUUAACCCUGAGCGUGCUUUCGAUACGGGUUGACUUGAGGAAGGUAGGGGAGAAUGGAAUUCCUGGUGGAGCGGUGGAAUGCGCAGACAUCAGGAGGAACACCAGUGGCGAAGGCGGUUCUCUGGGCCUUUCCUGACGCUGAGGAGCGAAAGCGUGGGGAGCGAACAGGCUUAGAUACCCUGGUAGUCCACGCUGUAAACGGUGGGUACUAGGUGUGGGGUCCAUUCCACGGGUUCCGUGCCGUAGCUAACGCUUUAAGUACCCCGCCUGGGGAGUACGGCCGCAAGGCUAAAACUCAAAGGAAUUGACGGGGCCCCGCACAAGCGGCGGAGCAUGCGGAUUAAUUCGAUGCAACGCGUAGAACCUUACCUGGGUUUGACAUGGAUCGGGAGCGCUCAGAGAUGGGUGUGCCUCUUUUGGGGUCGGUUCACAGGUGGUGCAUGGCUGUCGUCAGCUCGUGUCGUGAGAUGUUGGGUUAAGUCCCGCAACGAGCGCAACCCUUGUUCACUGUUGCCAGCACGUUAUGGUGGGGACUCAGUGGAGACCGCCGGGGUCAACUCGGAGGAAGGUGGGGAUGACGUCAAGUCAUCAUGCCCCUUAUGUCCAGGGCUUCACGCAUGCUACAAUGGCUGGUACAGAGAGUGGCGAGCCUGUGAGGGUGAGCGAAUCUCGGAAAGCCGGUCUCAGUUCGGAUUGGGGUCUGCAACUCGACCUCAUGAAGUCGGAGUCGCUAGUAAUCGCAGAUCAGCAACGCUGCGGUGAAUACGUUCCCGGGGCU
rnacentral:rRNA from 1 species